rnacentral:lncRNA from 1 species
AAUCAAAUUCAUGCCACUAUAUUAUCAGUAGAACAUGAGUUCAUCAUGGAUAAAAGAUAGAACAGUUGGUGAUGCCUCAAGAAAUCAGUUAUGCAUCAAGAAGAAGAAGAAGAAAGUGGUUACAUCCAAGAAGAAGAAAGGAAAGGAAAAAUAUUGUUCUGUUGAAUGAAUAAUAAUGAGUUACAAUGCUGUUUAUAUAUACAAGAAGAAGGAGUAUAGUAAGCUAAUGUGGAAAAGCUAUACAUAAUAAUCUGUUAAUUCUAAUAUCCCCCCUCAAGGUGGAC